AGUCGAAAGUAAACAGGAACUCAAGCAGCUGAAUAUAGGAUUUUAUAACAGAGGAAAGAGAAAACAGUUGGGGUUGCGCAGAAAAGGAAUCUGUACAAAAAACAAACGAAAGCUUGGGUUCUACAGACAGGAGAUUUUAUGAGAAUGGAAGAUAGAAAUUUUACUAUCUGAUAAUUUUGGAAAACUCAAAAUGAAAGGUAGCUGAGACUGAUCAAGGAAACUUUGAUUUGGGUAUUCGAAUAGGAAUAAGAUUAGGGUUUUCUGGACAAGAAAACUGUAGGAACAUUGAGGUUCAGCCGCCGAUAAUCAUAACCUUCACGAAUGAUUCCUUAUUCGAGAAGAAAAUAACAAAGCU